AUUAAUUAUUUUCUUAAAAUAACAGUAUCUCAUCUAUUAAUGAUAAAAUAUAUUUUGUUUCAACAUCUUUGACUUUCGUCGAACUUAAACUUAGCUAAAAUAUCGCUUCAAUUAACUAAUUUAGAGAUAAAUCUAACUCAAAUACCGUUUCAAUUAACUAAUUUAGAGAUAGUUUUUUUUUUGGUUAAAUGUCCAUUCUUGAAAAGAGAUUAGUUCAAAUGGGAUUGUCGGUUACUAUAACAUGAAGGAACCACUUUAUUGAACAAGGGCUCCUUUAGAUGGGCAUUUAUUUAUAGUGCGGUGCAUUUAAAAUGAGAUUAGUAUCUAAUCUCACCACAGUUGUUUUUACACUAAUCUCAGGUAAACGCACCGCCCAUCCAAAGGAGCCUUAAUUCUUAGAAGAAACCAAAUCUCAUGCUCAUCGUUGAUCUGCCGUAAUUUGAUAUGGCAAAUUAAGCUUUCCCAAUAUACUUAAGGAGCUUAUUCUCAAGCAAAGUAGCGUAUUUUCCGUAAUUUUUCGUAUUUUUUAGGCUUAAUUUAGUGAGUGUAAAUGCCUUGUUUUUAUUCAUUUUGAGACCUAAUCUGGCCAAUAGUGCCAUUGGGGACCCUAACGUAUGCUUGAGUGAUGUAGGGACGUGUUGGAGGCUAAAAUCGAGCAAGAAUGGCACCAAAGGAUAGGGCAUUGCGACAUCGAAACCUUGGAAUCGUGAUACCUCCAAUAGACCCAAGAUUGGAAACCACCCUUCAGUGGUAUCGUGAAGCCCUCCAAGUUCGAAAUUGUUCAAGGUAUCGCGAUAUUCUCUUACUUGGUAUCACAAUACCGAUAUCGUGAGAGGACAAAAGUUGAUGAAAAGGGUAGUCUUUGUCCACUUGAAGCACCAAUCAUUGAAGGCUUGUUCAAAAGUAUUUUGGGCACAAGAAUUAGGUCAAAAUAGCUGCUAUAUCAGCCAAAAUUUAGCUAAGAGAUAAAGAAAUGCCACAUUAGCUUGUUCAGGCUUAGUUUUUCUCUAACUAAUUUAAAUUCUUUAAGGAUAAUUUUAUCUCUAAAUAAUUUAAUUAAUAUGAGAUUAAU
rnacentral:lncRNA from 1 species